UAAUCCAGAACAAGGGAGAGCUGGCAUCCUGAGCUGAGAUCCAUUCCUAGUUAAAUGCUGAGCUGCUAUGAUGUUGCACAGUAUUUUACAGAUAUUCUUGGAGCCAGUGCAGAUGUUACUACAAUUUAUUAACUGCUGUCUAUAACUGCUCCUCUGAGUGAGCUACUGUCAUGAGAUGAGAAGAAACACAACAGAUUGCCGUGGCUUCUUCCAUGACAAGAAAUCUCUCAUGAUGGCCUUGAAGAGACCUCACUGGAGAACGGAAGAAGAAAAAUGUCCCAACUAACUUUUACAGCAUCUUCAUACGAGUUGAUUGACAGAGGAUGAAUCCAGACUCCUGAGGUACUGCCUAAGAAUGGCUCCACUGGCAAGAUGUAUGUGGCUCAGCAGGAUCCAGAUUCAAGACUCUAGAUAGUAGUUUCUAGAAUAAAGAGAACGUGAAAAGUUUAGAACUUAUCGGAGGCAAGUAGUUACUUGAGUUUUCCUCAGAUCAUGAGUCAGGCCUCCCUAGGUAUGUACAGAUGUUGGCUGGCAAGGCCCAGCUUCUUUAUUAUGCUUUCUAGUAAUCGUAUUGAUUAGACCAGUACGCAGAGGGCUAACAUGUCAUUAUAGUACAUUUGACACACUUCAUCCACGUGUUUCAUUGCCAGUGAUGCAACAUCUACGGUAUGCUGAGCUCAGAUGUAUUUUAGGUAAGAACAGAAUAUUCACAGCAGCAGUCAUGAUCUAAUCUAUGUUAACCUUCCAUUUACAGAGGGAGAGAAAUCUAGCCCUAAAAAGUCUGGAUAGAAUCAGAUUGUUUUAUCAGUUCUACUUCAGAGUUGAGUCACCUUCUGAAGACUUUAAAAAUAUUAUGAUGUGCUGAAGUUAGUUGAUAAUGUUCUCCCACUGGUUUCUGGAUGUUGUCUUUUUCUGUGGUCCUAGUUCAUAAAAGC